UGAAUAGUUUAAUUGCUAUCGUGUGAACUUUUUUAUUUACAAACAUUAUUAUAGCGAAUUAAGGUAGAUUAGCUGAGGUAGGUAAAGUUUCGUGUCAUUUCCUUACCUGAGAUCUACAUGUGUGAAAACUACGUCAUAGCAAACCUUUGAUCAGAUUCAUUAUACGUGACUUUGGCAUUAAGAACAUUUCUACUAAAGUAGCUUUUCAAGUAUUACAUUAUGUUUACUUUGCACAGGAUGAGUGGACCCCUUUGCUCUAUGCAGCUUGGAAAAACAAUGUAGAUGUUGUUUGUUUGCUGCUGGAGAAGGGUGCUGAUAUUAAUGUACAGGAUAAGUAUGGGUCGACCCCUUUGCACAUUGCAGCCCGGGAAAACAAUGAAGAUGUUGUUCGUUUCCUGCUGGAGAAGGGUGCUGAUGUCAGUGUACAGAAUAAGAAUGGGUCGACCCCUUUGCACAUUGCAGCCUGGAAAAACAAUGAAGAUGUUGUUCGUUUCUUGCUGGAGAAGGGUGCUGAUGUCAGUGUACAGAAUAAGG